UCAGCCCUUUGAUUGCUCCAACGCCCAUCAGUACUCAAUUCAGGGAAGGAGAGAGGAAGAGGGGAAGAGAGGAAGAGAAGAGUGAAGGUUCGUUGCUAUAAUCCGUGGUUGCCACUGGGAGAGGUGGGAGAUAGGAAGAGGGGAAGAGAGGAAGAGAAGAGUGAAGAUCUGUGGUCACCGCCGAGAAAGCUGGGAGAGAUGAAGAAGGAAAGAGAAGAAGAGAAUAGUGAAGAAAAAUCUUCUCUUGACCUUUGCAGGGAUCAUCUAUGGUUGCCACCGGGAAAACUGAGAGAGAGGAAGAGGGGAAGAGAUGAAGAGAAAGGAAACUCAUUUUUUACAUUUUUCAUUUUUGAGGCCAAACGAAGUGAAGGCAAAACAUCCAAAGAUUACAUAUGCAGACCUUUAUCAGGGUAGGCCAUGGAAAUCCUUCUCCAUGAGUUGGGAGGCCAUUGAAAGGGGGCAUGAAAGCGGCUAGUGGAUUUUCUUGGUUAGCAUAGGUCGCUAUUCACGUCAGGCCUAGCUGAAGAAUGAGAAAUUUUUUUCUGUUCUACUAUUGGGUUAUUUCUCCUAUUUUGUAAGUGUUUUAAUGGACUAGAAGGUUCUUUAAUGGGUUUGAGUUUGGUGAGGCAAUAGAAAAUAGGCCUGGGAUUUUCAGUAGAUUGGUAGUCAACAAAUUCUAUUUAUCGCUUGAGGCUCAAGUAUAGAAAUGGAGCUUUCUAUAAUUUUUUAGGCUCAAGUAUAGAGAUGGAGCUUUCUGUAGUGGUAUCUUAUAAUGACUAUUUCUGUAAUGGAUGUACUAGCUUAAUUGCUCAAGUAUGGUGAAAUAUCAAAUUUUUUUUCUUUUA